rnacentral:rRNA from 1 species
UGGCUCAGAGCGAACGCUGGCGGCAGGCCUAACACAUGCAAGUCGAACGGAUCCUUCGGGAUUAGUGGCGGACGGGUGAGUAACACGUGGGAACGUGCCCUUUGGUUCGGAACAACUCAGGGAAACUUGAGCUAAUACCGGAUGUGCCCCUCGGGGGGAAAGAUUUAUCGCCAUUGGAGCGGCCCGCGUCUGAUUAGCUAGUUGGUGAGGUAAAGGCUCACCAAGGCGACGAUCAGUAGCUGGUCUGAGAGGAUGAUCAGCCACAUUGGGACUGAGACACGGCCCAAACUCCUACGGGAGGCAGCAGUGGGAAUCUUGCGCAAUGGGCGAAAGCCUGACGCAGCCAUGCCGCGUGAAUGAUGAAGGUCUUAGGAUUGUAAAAUUCUUUCACCGGGGACGAUAAUGACGGUACCCGGAGAAGAAGCCCCGGCUAACUUCGUG